GUGCUUGCUUCGGUAGUACAUAUACUAAAAUUGGAACGAUACAGACAAGAUUAGCAUGGCCCCUGCGCAAGGAUGGCACGCAAAUUCGUAAAAAAGAAAUUAAUAAA
rnacentral:snRNA from 1 species